rnacentral:rRNA from 1 species
AGCCUGAUGCAGCCAUGCCGCGUGUAUGAAGAAGGCCUUCGGGUUGUAAAGUAAGCGUGAGGAAGGCAUUACGUUAAUAGCGUUAGUGUUGACGUUAGCGACAGAAGAAGCACCGGCUAACUCCGUGCCAGCAGCCGCGGUAAUACGGAGGGUGCGAGCGUUAAUCGGAAUUACUGGGCGUAAAGCGCAUGCAGGUGGUUUGUUAAGUCAGAUGUGAAAGCCCGGGGCUCAACCUCGGAACCGCAUUUGAAACUGGCAGGCUAGAGUACUGUAGAGGGGGGUAGAAUUUCAGGUGUAGCGGUGAAAUGCGUAGAGAUCUGAAGGAAUACCAGUGGCGAAGGCGGCCCCCUGGACAGAUACUGACACUCAGAUGCGAAAGCGUGGGGAGCAAACAGGAUUAGAUACCCUGGUAGUCCACGCCGUAAACGAUGUCUACUUGGAGUUGUGGCCUUGAGCCGUGGCUUUCGGAGCUACGCGUAAGUAGCCGCCUGG